UACGAAGGGGGCUAGCGUUGCUCGGAAUCACUGGGCGUAAAGGGUGCGUAGGCGGGUUUUUAAGUCAGGGGUGAAAUCCUGGAGCUCAACUCCAGAACUGCCUUUGAUACUGAAGAUCUCGAGUCCGGGAGAGGUGAGUGGAACUGCGAGUGUAGAGGUGAAAUUCGUAGAUAUUCGCAAGAACACCAGUGGCGAAGGCGGCUCACUGGCCCGGUACUGACGCUGAGGCACGAAAGCGUGGGGAGCAAACAGU
rnacentral:rRNA from 1 species